GAUGAACGCUGGCGGCGUGCCUAAUACAUGCAAGUCGAGCGAAGCGGGGACGGGUGCGUACCACGGGGAUAACCUCCUAUAAGACUGGGAUAACUUCGGGAAACAGGAGCUAAACCGGAUACUCAUAGAUGGAUCCGCGCUGCACUAGCUAUGUGGUAAGGGAACGGCUUACCAAGGCAACGAUGCAUAGCCGACCUGAGAGGGUGAUCGGCCACACUGGAACUGAGACACGGGCCAGACUCCUAGGGGAGGCAGCAGUAGGGAAGCUUCCGCAAUGGACGAAAGUCUGACGGAGCAACGCCGCGUGAGUGAUGAAGGUCUUCGGAUCGUAAAACUCUGUUAUUAGUGAAGCGGUACCUAAUCAGAAAGCCACGGCUAACUACGUGCCAGCAGCCGCGGUAAUAC
rnacentral:rRNA from 1 species